CACACACCCCCCGAUCGCUGCUGCUGCCGCGGCCGGAGGAGCCGCCGGUUUUCCGCCUAGCCCCGACUCUCCUCCUUCCUCCUCAAUCGCCGCUGCAUGCCAACACCAUGCCUUCUCUUCCGCCAUCUUGUUUCCCCCUUCUCCUCUCAUUCGCUAUUUUAUACCGAGGGAGGGAGGAGGCGCUCGCUGAUUGGCUGACAGUGUCAGCCUCGGAAGUCGUCCAUUGGCUCAUCCCCACGAGGGGUUCUCCGAGGGGGUGGGAGAAAGGCGCUGAUUGGUCACCGUGUCGCUGAGGGGAGGAAGGCACUGAUUGGUCACUUUCCGCCGAAGUUCGCCCUCCCAGUAACAGGCGCUGAUUCGCUAGCGCCCCUGAGGUAGAAAAGGCGCUGAUUGGUCGGCGUUUUCUCGCCGACGUUAGCCCACAGCAACGAAGCGCUGAUUGGGCAGCGCGGCUGACGGGGCGGAUCGUCCAUUGGAAGGAGGGCGGGCGGGGGGCGGGACCGGGCGGGACAACGAGGUAAUAAAUGGGGCGGCGCAGGACGCGCGCAGGACCAGAAAGGCGGAGGCGGCAGCGGCAGCGCGAGCUCAUCGCCCCCCCCCCCCCCCCCCCCCCCCCCCCCCCCCCGCCCGCCGCGGGAAACCGGAGAACGGCAGGAACGGCGGCCGGAAUCAGUUAACGGGAUGGGUAAGGGCGGUAAUUAUCGUGCGGGUGUUAAUUGGGGCUCGGCGGGUUAAUGAGUGACCGGCGGGCUGGGGUGUAUCUGGGGGUUUUGAUCGGAACUGGGGUUUUAAAGCCGCGGGUUUGGGGGGGGGGGGGGGGGGGGGCGGGGGCGAUUAAGGCUCCCGAAGCCGCUUUAGCGGCUUAAAUCGUUGUGUUGAACGCGGGAGGAGCCGGUUCGGGGCUUUUCUCAGCAAGCGGGGCUGGUUUGGGUCUAAUUCGGCUUUUAAAAGAUGUUUUUACGUAAUUUUUGGGUGCCGAUUUGUGCCAGAAGGCGCCUUUGAAAUCUGUUUAUUGAGGGUUUAUCAGGAGAAUUAAAGUUUAAAGCUCGGGGAGAUUUGGGGCUUUUCCCCGGGAUUUUGAGUCCAAAUCGGUUUUUUUAGAGCCCUUAUUUAUUUAAAUUGUUAUGUUUAAAGGGUUUAUUUGAGGUUUUAUUUGGAACAUUUUGGGCGGGUUUGAGGCUCCUAAGAUUUAAUUGUUGGUUUAUUAUUUGAUUUAUUAUUUCACUGCGGUUCGGGGCUCCUGAAGACGCUGAGUUGUUUCAAUUAUUUAGCGCUGUGAGGAGCCGUUUUGGGGCCGUUGGGGUCUAAAUCGGCUUUUUAAAAGGUUUAUUUAACGCGUUUAAAGUUUGAGGGGCCGAUUUGCGACUUUAAAGCUUUUUGAAUCUACUUAUUGAUAAGAAUUUAUACAAUAGAUUAAUAUUUAAAGCCCGGGGGGAGAUUUGGGGCUGUUUCCCAGGAUUGCGAGUCCAAAUGCGUUUUUUUCUGUUAACCGCUUAUUAAUUUACAUUAUUAUAUUUAAACGGGGCUUUUUGAGGUUUUAUGAGGGUUUUUUUGAGCAUUUUGGGCGGUUCUGAGGCUCCUAAAGCCGCUUAAUUGUUUAAAUUAUUAAUUGUUAAAAUAAUGUAAGUAGUUGUUGAAAUAAGUGUGUAAGUUAUUGUAUUUAAAGCCGGGAGGGGCAUUUCGUUGCUUUUUGGGGGGUUUUAGGGCUGAAUUCACUUCAUUGAACGUGUCUAGAGCUGGGGGUCCCAGAUCUGGUGCUGAUUUGGCCCCAAAAAAAGCUUUAAAAAUCUAUUUAUUUAUAUAAUUUACUGAAUUAAUAUUUAAGCGGGAACAUGUUCGGCUUUUUUAACCCGCCGCCAUUUUGUCUCCCCCGUCCCGCUCUCCCUCACGCUGAGGGGGCCGAGGAGACGCUCGCUGAUUGGCCGGUGCCGUCUGGCGGGAAAGCCUCCCCCGGCUCAGCCCCGCUCGGCUGUCUCCGAGGGAGAGAAAGGCGCUGAUUGGUCGCUGCCUCUGAGGAGAGAAAGGCGCUGAUUGGUCGCCGCCUCCCUAAACCCACCUCCUGCGCAGAGAACAGCGACGGCAGCCUGGCCACGCCCCCUCCGGCUGACCGCGCCCCCCGCUCCGGCUGACCGCGCGUGCCCCCCCCCCCCGCAACUCGGCUGACCGCGUGCCCCCCCCCAACUCCGGCUGACUGUGCCCCCCCGCCCCCCCCGGCUGACCGCGUGCCCCCCCCACUGCACUCCUGCUGACUGUGCGCCCCCCCCACCUCCUCCGGCUGGCCACAUCUCCACUGCACACCAUGGCGGGGAGGGGGCAGGGGGGGAUCACAAGGGUCUAUGGGGCGGUGUGGGGGUCAGGGCGGCUGUGGGGUCAAUGGGGUUGUUGUGGGGUGAAACACCCCUGAAGAGGCUGAACCCCCUACAGGUGAGUGACCCACACAGUGCCCCACAGUGCCCCAUAGCACCUCCAUUCUGCCCUACGGAUCCACAACACUGCCCCACAGCACCCUAUAGCUCCUGCUUGCUAUCCCACAGCACCCCAUGGCUUCUCCACUCUGCCCCAUAUGUCUACAGCAGUGCCACAGAGUACCUCAUAUGUCUUCCACUCUGCCCCAUGGGUGCAGAGUGCUGCCCUACAGCACCCUAUAGCUCCUGUACUCUGCCCCACAGAUCCACAGUGCUGUCCCACAGCACCCUAUAGCUCAUUUGGCCUAUAGACCCACUGUACUGCCCUACAAUGCCCCAUGGCUCCUACACUCUGCCCCAUAGACCCACAACACUGCCUCACAACACCCCAUUGCUCCUGCACUCUGCCCCAUGGAUGCCCAGUACUGCCCCACAGCACCAUAUAGGUCCUGUACUCUGCCCCAUAUAUCCACAGGAGUGCCCUGCAGCACCCCAUGGCUCCUGCACUCUGCCCCAUGGAUGCCCAGUACUGCCCAACAGCACCAUAUAGGUCCUGUACUCUGCCCCAUACAUCCACAGGAGUGCCCCCCAGCACCCUAUGGCUCCUGCAUUCUGACCCAUGGAUGCCCAGUACUGCCCCACAGCACCAUAUAGGUCCUGUACUCUGCCCCAUACAUCCACAGGAGUGCCCCCCAGCACCCCAUGGCUCCUGCACUCUGCCCCAUGGAUGCCCAGUACUGCCCCACAGCACCGUAUAGCUCCUCUACUCUGCCCCAUACAUCCACAGGAGUGCCCCCCAGCACCCCAUAGUGACUCUACUCUUCCCCAUAGACCCACAGUGCUGCCGCACAGGACUCUACUCUGCCCCUUAGACCCAGAGAGCUGCCCCACAGCAGCCUGUAGGUGCUGUGUUCUGCCCCAUUGGUGCAAAGUGCUGCCCCACAGCGCCCCACACCUCUGUCCACCUGACCACCCUUCCCUCCUGACUGCGCCUGCACUGCCCACUAUGGGUGGGUCACAAGGGUCUAUGGGGUGGUGUGGGGGUCAGGGCGGCUGUGGGGUCAAUGGGGUUGUUGUGGUGUGAAACACCCCUGAAGAGGCUGAACCCCCUACAGGUGAGUGACCCACACAGUGCCCCACAGUGCCCCAUAGCACCUCCAUUCUGCCCUACGGAUCCACAACACUGCCCCACAGCACCCUAUAGCUCCUGCUUGCUAUCCCACAGCACCCCAUGGCUUCUCCACUCUGCCCCAUAUGUCUACAGCAGUGCCACAGAGUACCUCAUAUGUCUUCCACUCUGCCCCAUGGGUGCAGAGUGCUGCCCUACAGCACCCUAUAGCUCCUGUACUCUGCCCCACAGAUCCACAGUGCUGUCCCAUAGCACCCUAUAGCUCAUCUGGCCUAUAGACCCACUGUACUGUCCUACAAUGCCCCAUGGCUCCUACACUCUGCCCCAUAGACCCACAACACUGCCUCACAACACCCCAUUGCUCCUGCACUCUGCCCCAUGGAUGCCCAGUACUGCCCCACAGCACCAUAUAGGUCCUGUACUCUGCCCCAUAUAUCCACAGGAGUGCCCUGCAGCACCCCAUGGCUCCUGCACUCUGCCCCAUGGAUGCCCAGUACUGCCCAACAGCACCAUAUAGGUCCUGUACUCUGCCCCAUACAUCCACAGGAGUGCCCCCCAGCACCCUAUGGCUCCUGCAUUCUGACCCAUGGAUGCCCAGUACUGCCCCACAGCACCAUAUAGGUCCUGUACUCUGCCCCAUACAUCCACAGGAGUGCCCCCCAGCACCCCAUGGCUCCUGCACUCUGCCCCAUGGAUGCCCAGUACUGCCCCACAGCACCGUAUAGCUCCUCUACUCUGCCCCAUACAUCCACAGGAGUGCCCCCCAGCACCCCAUAGUGACUCUACUCUUCCCCAUAGACCCACAGUGCUGCCGCACAGGACUCUACUCUGCCCCUUAGACCCAGAGAGCUGCCCCACAGCAGCCUGUAGGUGCUGUGUUCUGCCCCAUUGGUGCAAAGUGCUGCCCCACAGCGCCCCACACCUCUGUCCACCUGACCACCCUUCCCUCCUGACUGCGCCUGCACUGCCCACUAUGGGUGGGUCACAAGGGUCUAUGGGGUGGUGUGGGGGUCAGGGCGGCUGUGGGGUCAAUGGGGUUGUUGUGGUGUGAAACACCCCUGAAGAGGCUGAACCCCCUACAGGUGAGUGACCCACACAGAGACCCACAGCAGCCCAUAGCCCCUCUGCCCUAUAGAGUCACUGCACCCCAUAGCUGCUUUUACUCUGCCACAUAAAUGGACAGCAGUGCUCCACAGCACCCUAAGUCUCCACUGUGCCCCAUAGACACACAGUGCUGUCCCACAGCACCCCAUAUCUUGUUCACUCUGCCCUAUAGACCCACAGUGUAACCCUACAGCACCCCAUAGUUCCUCUGCCCUAUAGAUCGACAGCACUGUCCCAGAAAACACCAUAGCUUCUUCCCACUAGCCCAUAGGCCAGCAAUUCUGCCCUACAGCGCACUAGCUCCUGCACCCUGCCCCAUAGACCCACAGCAGUGCCCCACAGAUCCAGUCUGCCCUAUACAGCCACAGCACUGCUCUGCAGCACCAUAUACUUCCAGCACUCUGGCCCACUGAUAUGUAGCACCCCACAGCUGCUGCAUUCCACCCAUAGAUCGAGAUUCCUGGGUCCCCUCACCCCACCAGCUGUCCUGGGUUGCAAUGCUGCACGGGGCCCUGUGCACAACAAAAUGAGGACAGCAUGGCUGCUGGGCGGCACCCUGCUUGGAAUCCAAGAUGGCUGGGGGGGGGAGGGCUGGCAGCCAUGCUGGCACUGCCGGAGGGGCUGUUGGUCUGCGCCGUGCUCAGGCGGCAGCUCCCGGCUGUAUCGGCUGCCCCUGUGGCCCUGCACCCUGCCCAUGGGAACAAGGUGGCUGCCCUGAUGGGCGUGGCCAUCUCGGCUGCUGUGUCCCUGCUGGUGGGCGGGGCCAUGGCUGUCAUGGCUGCCAAGCCUGUGCUGGAAGGGUGGGGCUGAGGUGGGUGGUGCCUGCCUAGGGUGGCCAUUUUGGGGUGGGGCCCAAGGUGGGUGGUGGGGCCUGUGACUCUGUUUGCCCCUGACGGCCAUCUUGGAAAAGGGCAGCACUGUGCCGCUGCCAUCCUGACGUUGCUCCCCCAGGGCCAUGUUGGGGGAUUUUUAACCUGGUUUUGGGGCCAAUUCUCACCCAAUAAAAUUAAAUAAUGUAAAAAAA